AAUGAUAAAACUAAAAAAAAUAUAUGAUGUACAUUACCAUGUAAACUUCCACCGAAAAUUGGUUUGAACGAGAUCUAGUAAGUAGUUUUUUUUUAUACAACUGAAACUCAAAAAAAAAAAUCAUCAAACCCAUACGUGUGGGGUAUCUAUGGAUAGGUCUUCAAAAAUGAUAUUGAGGUUUCUAAUAUAAUUUUUUUCUAAACUGAAUAGUCUUCGCGAGAGACACUUCCAAAGUG